rnacentral:rRNA from 1 species
UAUAAUGACUCUCGGCAACGGAUAUCUCGGCUCUUGCAUCGAUGAAGAACGUAGCGAAAUGCGAUACUUGGUGUGAAUUGCAGAAUCCCGUGAACCAUCGAGUCUUUGAACGCAAGUUGCGCCCGAAGCCAUUAGGUUGAGGGCACGUCUGCCUGGGUGUCACA